rnacentral:tRNA from 1 species
GCUCCUGUAGCUCAACUGGAUCAGAGCGAAGCCCUACGAAGGCUUAGGUUGUUGGUUCGAACCCAGCCAGGAGCGCCA